rfam:Triticum aestivum genome assembly, contig: Triticum_aestivum_CS42_TGACv1_scaffold_177189_2DS
AACAUACUCCCUCCGUCCGAAAGAACUUGUCAUCAAAAUGGGCAAAAAGGGGUGUAUUGAACUAAAAUACAUCUAGAUACAUCCCUUUUUAUUCAUUUUGAUGACAAGUAUUUCCGGACGGAGGGAGUAUAUU